rnacentral:rRNA from 1 species
CCCUUAGAUGUUCUGGGCCGCACACGCGCUACACUGAAGGAGGCAGCGUGUACUCCUGGAUCGAAAGAUUUGGGUAACCCGCGAAUGUCCUUCGUGCUAGGGAUUGAGGUUUGCAAUUAUCCUUCAUGAACGAGGAAUUCCCAGUAAGUGCAAGUCAUAAGCUUGCGCUGACUACGUCCCUGCCCUUUGUACACACCGCCCGUCGCUACUACCGAUUGAAUGAUUUAGUGAGGACUUCGGACUGGGACCGAUGCGGCUUUCGGGCUGCGUCGGUAUUCUGGAAAGAUGUCCAAACUGUAUCAUUUAGAGGAAGUAAAAGUCGUAACA